UGGGGAAUUUUGGACAAUGGGCGAAAGCCUGAUCCAGCAAUGCCGCGUGUGUGAAGAAGGCCUUCGGGUUGUAAAGCACUUUUGUCCGGAAAGAAAUCCUUGGCUCUAAUACAGUCGGGGGAUGACGGUACCGGAAGAAUAAGCACCGGCUAACUACGUGCCAGCAGCCGCGGUAAUACGUAGGGUGCAAGCGUUAAUCGGAAUUACUGGGCGUAAAGCGUGCGCAGGCGGUUUGCUAAGACCGAUGUGAAAUCCCCGGGCUCAACCUGGGAACUGCAUUGGUGACUGGCAGGCUAGAGUAUGGCAGAGGGGGGUAGAAUUCCACGUGUAGCAGUGAAAUGCGUAGAGAUGUGGAGGAAUACCGAUGGCGAAGGCAGCCCCCUGGGCCAAUACUGACGCUCAUGCACGAAAGCGUGGGGGAGCAAAACAGGAUUAGAUACCCUGGUAGUCCACGCCCUAAACGAUGUCAACUAGUUGUUGGGGAUUCAUUUCCUUAGUAACGUACUAACGCGUGAAGUUGACCGCCUGGGGAGUACGGUCGCAAGAUUAAAACUCAAAUGAAUUGACGGGGUCAUAGCUGUUUCCU
rnacentral:rRNA from 1 species